CAGCAGCCACGGUAAUACCGAGGGUGCGAGCGUUAAUCGGAUUUACUGGGCGUAAAGCGUGCGUAGGCGGCUUCUUAAGUCGGAUGUGAAAUCCCUGAGCUUAACUUAGUAAUUGCAUUCGAUACUGGGAAGCUAGAGUAUGGGAGAGGAUGGUAGAAUUCCAGGUGUAGCGGUGAAAUGCGUAGAGAUCUGGAGGAAUACCGAUGGCGAAGGCAGCCAUCUGGCCUAAUACUGACGCUGAGGUACGAAAGCAUGGGGAGCAAACAGGAUUAGAUACCCGCGUAGUCCCUGUCUCUUAUAC
rnacentral:rRNA from 1 species